CGUAAAGCAACCAAUAAGAUGGUGCCAGGUCAGCAGACAAAGGUAAUGGCGGUGCGUAACCGAAGAUCCCUCCGUUAAAUCAGGCAGAGAUCCCGCACCAACAAGAGAAAAACGGUGUUCUCCUCGCAUAAUGUAUUACCAAAUGAGUUCUGCUUCGCAUUCUUGCACAAGUUUGGAGAGACCACUUUGCUAUUGUGGCUGCCAAGCGAAGCUACGGAUUUCUGGAAAAGUAAAUUCUUUUGGGAGAAGAUUUUUUAAUUGUCCAAACUAUAAAAUGAAUAAACAAUGUGGCUUUUUUGAGUGGAUUGAUCUUCAAUGUGAGCAAAACAAUUGCUGUAAGAUGACAUUGGAGUUAGCUGAACGGAGGCACAACAGGUACUUCAUGAGCGGCUCCGCAUCGAAGAAUCCAAAUUUAAAGUAUUGGAAAAGAAGUACAGGGCUGUUUUAAAAGCGUUAAUGUUGACAUGGUUUUUUUUAAUAAUGGUUUGUAGUGUAAUUUUUAUGUAUCCAACAAAUUAUGUAUCUUGGCCACAGCUACCACUCAUGUAACUUAUUGUACUUUUGUGACCACUUUGAUCAAUAAAUGUAGUUAAUGUCUCAUAUGUAAUGAGAACAUCCUAUGAGUUGAAUGGAAAUGAAAUUUUGUUGUUUUAUUUUGAGAUUU